rnacentral:rRNA from 1 species
UACGUAGGGACCAAGCGUUGUCCGGAAUCAUUGGGCGUAAAGGGCUCGUAGGCGGUCCGUCACGUCGGGAGUGAAAUCCUGGGGCUUAACCCCAGAACUGCUUCCGAUACGGGCAGACUAGAGGUAGGUAGGGGAGAAUGGAAUUCCUGGUGUAGCGGUGGAAUGCGCAGAUAUCAGGAGGAACACCAGUGGCGAAGGCGGUUCUCUGGGCCUUACCUGACGCUGAGGAGCGAAAGCGUGGGGAGCAAACAGG